rnacentral:lncRNA from 1 species
CCCGCAUUGAGUAUAAAGGCUUUCAUAAGAAUACUUUAUAACAGAUAAUAUUGGGGUUUUUUUGUGGGGGAGGAGGUUUGAAACAAGGUCUCACUCUCUCACCCAGGCUGGAGUACAGUGGUGGUGCGAUUUUGGCUCUUUGCAACCUCAACCUCCUGGGCUCAAGCAGUCCUUCCACAUCAGUCUCUCGAGUAGCUGGGAUUACAGGCAUGCACCACCACACCCAGCUAAAUUUUUUGCAUCUUUUGUAGAAAUGGGGUUUCACCAUGUUGGCCAGGCUGGUCUUGAAAUCAUGAGCUCAAGCAAUCUGCCCACCUUGGCCUCCCAAAGUGCUGGAAAUACAAGCAUGAGCCACUCUGCUCCACCACAGAUUUAUUGAGAUAUAAUUUAUAUACCAUAAAAUUCAUCCAUUUAAAAUGUGCAAUUCAGUGUUCUUUGUGUAUUCACAGAGUUGCAUGACCAUCACCACAAUAAAUCUUAGAACAUUAUCACCUCUAAAAUAAAACUUUUAGCUAUAACCUCUGCUAUGGUCUGUAUGUUUGUGUACCCUCAAAAUUCAUAAGUUGCAAUCCUAACCCCUAAGGUGAUGGUAUUAGGAGAUGGGGCCUUUGGGAAGUGAUUAGGUCAAGAGGGCAUAGCCCUCAUGAAUGAGCUCAGUGCUCCUAUGAAAGUGGCCCUAAACAGAUCACUCACCCCUUCUCCCUUGUGAGGAAACAAU